UACAGAGGGCGCGAGCGUUGUCCGGAAUCACUGGGCGUAAAGCGUGCGCAGGCGGUUGUGCAAGACAGAUGUGAAAUCCCCGGGCUCAACCUGGGAACUGCAUUUGUGACUGCACGGCUAGAGUGUGUCAGAGGGGGGUAGAAUUCCACGUGUAGCAGUGAAAUGCGUAGAUAUGUGGAGGAAUACCGAUGGCGAAGGCAGCCCCCUGGGAUAACACUGACGCUCAUGCACGAAAGCGUGGGGAGCAAACAGG
rnacentral:rRNA from 1 species